AAAAACAGACACACAGCCUGGGCUUGGGAAUCUCCAGAACAAACCUACACGAGCAAGGAGGCGUCCGACCUGUGGAAAUCUAACAAGCAUAGGGGAAAGCAAAGGCAGCAUCUUAGGUAAGUGAAGUUACUCUUGCCUUGAGCUGAGUGUGGGAGCACCGCGAUUGCAAGAUGGGGCGAGGUGAUCAAAGAUCCCGCCUAUUUUCAACCCCGGAACCUCCUCCGCUCGCUGCUAGCCCUCCCGCCCUCCUCCAGCGAGGGAGCGCCAGGCUGUCCUGGCCCCGCCCGGCGCGGGUGCGGCUCCUUUAAGGGCGGGUGGGGGCGGGGCGCCGGCGGUGUUGUCAGUGUCAGCUCUGCGCACGCAGCCCUCCCGGAGCCGGUGCCGGCCCGCGAGCCCCAGCGUCUCUGCAGACCAGUCCCCUCCAGGGUCCGGCGGGGCCCGCGCGGUGGGAGGAGUCGGGCACUGGCCGGCGACUAACGGGUCCGACUGCUGACCAAGCUAGGAGAGACCCGGACCACGGAGACAGAGACCCCGGC
rnacentral:lncRNA from 1 species